UUAAAGGCAAUGAUGAGGAAAAAGUGGAUGAAGCCCUGCAUUUACAGAGAGCCGGAACUGCUGGAAACCGGCAAUGCAGUCAUUCGCGACAUCACCUUAGAGCCGGAAUCUUGAAAGCGAAAGCGAUUAUGGAUUCACGGGGAUUACCCAAAGUUCCCGUUAUCAAUGAACAGCUUACCUGCUGUUCAUGAGUCAGUGAUUGUCACUGUAAAGUAGGGUGGUACCAUGAAAGUUUUUUCAUCCCUGCA
rnacentral:ncRNA from 1 species